AACUUUUCCUAUGAACUCUUCUCUAAAGCAGGUCACAGGGAAAAAAAGGGUUUAAAGAGAAAUAACUUCUCCGGGCAAAAACUGAGGUUAGCGGGCCUAUCAGCUGUUUCUUCUCACUCCACCACUGCUGCUGACUGGAGGAGCAGCCUGGAAAGCAGCCGCCCUCCCGCAAACAGAGCUCCAGCUCCAAAUCUGUGAGAGUGCAUUUGGCAGAAUCUGAACAAGCAACACAAUGAUUAGAGGGUUUUUGUUUUUUUGUUUGUUUUUAACAGUUUUGUUACAAUGUUUCCACCCCAAAAUGUACCUGGUACCAAAUAUACUCCCUGGAAUCUUCACUACGAUCAAGAUAAUGAACCUAUUCAUCACCCCCAGAAGUUUCCUCGUGCCCCUUUGUAUUACUUUUGUUUGUAAUAGGUAUAAGAAUAAUGCUACAGCACAGUCAAGGUGGAGAAGAGCCAUUUUGGCCUCUUGGUCGAAGCAUCCAUUGUAACAAAACAACUCAGCCUGAUGUCCCAUGAUCAUGAAAGGAGCUCAUGGUAGGACUGAAUGAACACGGUGUCUUACAAAUAUUUAGGCUGAAUCAUGAGGACCAGGGCCCAAGCCUUUAGUAUAGGCCUACUGCUUGAAUAGGAAGGCCUUAUACAACCAAAAUGACCUAGAUUUCCAGCACAUCUUCCUGAUGCUCUGCAAUAUUUAUCUUUUUCUUGGAAGAGCUCAUUAGCAAGAUGGAAGGUGUUCAGGUUACUCACGAAUGUACAUAUUAUAGACUUCUCUUUAUGAGUAUAUGUGUUAGUUUAUUUUUGCAUUGCUACAAAUACCCGAGGCUUGGUAAUUUAUAAAGAAAAGAGGUUUAAUUAGCUCACAGUUCUGUAGGCUGUAUAGGAAGCAUGGUGCUGGCAUCUGCUCAGCUUCUGGUAGGGCCAUAGGGAGGUUUUACUCAUGGCAGAAGGCCAAGGGGGAAAAAGGCAUGGUGAGAGAGGGAGCAAGAGAGAGAGAAGGGGGAGGUCCCAGACUCUCUGAACAACUAGGUCUAUUGUGAACUGAGUGAGAACUCACUCAUCACCAAGGAGAUGGUGCUAAGCCAUUCAUGAGGGAUCUGCCCCCAUCAUCCAAUACUUCCCACCAGGCCCCACCUCCAACAUUGAGGAUCACAUUUCAACAUGAGAUUUGAAAGGGACACACCUCCAAAUCCUAUCAGUAUAUGAAUAAUGUUGAAAUAUACUUUUCUGGGGGAAUAUAGGGGAAGUAGGGCCAGUGGUUUGCUCAUAAAAAAAUUUCAAAAAUUGUGAAAGCCAUCAUUAAAAAUUAAUUUAUAUAUAAACCUGUACUAAAUAAAAGAUCUUAAAAACAAAGUUUAUAAAUACUCAAAACUCAUUACUUCAUAAUUAUUUUACUACAUUUUACUAAUAUCUAUGCUUUUAAGUUUGUGUCUGUUGUGUCUGUAUGGGAGAAAUAUUCUACGGUGGUCUGCUGUUGUCAUUAUAUAUCUUUUCUCAGUUCAGUGUAUUCAGUGAUGUCACCCUGGUAGCUUGAAAUUAGCCAUGAUGGGAAUAGUUACACCAUGGAAACUGGUGAGCACUACAAAUAAAGGCUUGAUUUAUUGUUUUUUGAUUGUUGAUUGCCUCGACCUUAGACAGUUAUACAGGAAAUGCACAUUAAACUUAAAUGUAUGCCUUGACUGUAACCAGCACGGUGUGAAUGGACCAAAAAAUGAGGAAAUAUUCUUCAAGUAUUCAAAAACAAUUCUCUGAUAGAGCAAAGAAGUCACUUCAUCAUUGAGAAACUACUGAAGUUCCUAUAUUUAUCUUCAUUGUUUCACUUUCUUGUUAACAUAAAAAAAUGUGUUAACCAAGAUUUAUGUCAGAACUAUACUGUGGCUCAUCAAUUGCAGCCAUAGGUUGGCUGUGAAUGCAACAGUUUAGUAAAAACAAAAACAUUCUGUGAGAUUCAAUUAGCUAUAUAUAAUUUACAGUAACAAAUAUUGUAUAUAUUAUUAUUUGCAAAUUGUAUGCCAAGAAUCCUUCAUAUUAGUCACAAUUUAUAAUAAUUGUAUGUAUAUGUCCAUCUAUCUAUGCCUAUAUUGUUUUUUUUUUAAAUUAUUAUUAUACUUUAAGUUUUAGGGUACAUGUGCACAAUGUGCAGGUUAGUUACAUAUGUAUACAUGUGCCAUGCUGGUGCGCUGCACCCACUAACUCGUCAUCUAGCAUUAGGUAUAUCUCCCAAUGCUAUUCCGCCCCCCUCCCCCCACCCCACAACAGUCCCCAGAGUGUGAUGUUCCCCU
rnacentral:lncRNA from 1 species